UGCAGCUCUACCACACGCCAACACCCAACGAAAACGCAGCUGACAUGAGGACGGGGAGAAGUGCGGGUGAAGAACGGAUCCAGCCAUCCAAGGGACCGCAGCGCCGGAUCUAACCGAAUUUGCACUUGGGAAAGACGAGGUGAAGGAGAAGACGGAGGAGGAGCAACAGCGCGUGACGGAGAACGGGAAUUUGGCGGCGGCACGGUGGGCUCUGGCCGUGCAAAAUCAAGGGUAGUUGUUGGAGAAAACUAAAGGGCUUAUUUGGAUAGUAUGCAUACAGCCGUUGCAUUAUACCUGGCUAUCGGGCCAGGCUUUCUCGCCCGGCGGGCUUGGCCCGGCUAUGCUCGGCCCGACACCAAGUUAAACGGGCCGGGCUGGCCCGAAGCAUGGCCUGUGCCGCACCGGUGCUUCUGCCUCAGGCCUUGGGGCCGGCCCGGCACAUACCUGUUUAUUUUUUUUAGGGUUACAUAUUUGGCCCAUUGGCUUUCUCAAUUCUGACCCAACACACCAUUUUUUUUUCUAUUUUAGCCCACCAUUUCUUCUUGUUUUGGCCUAACCUACCUUAUUUUUUCCAUUUUUCCUUUAAUUUGGCCCAGCCCAACAAGUUUUUUUUUUCUUUUUGUCAGUAAAAUGGGCCAUGUGCCGUGGGAGGCCAGUCGGGCCUUAAUGGGUUUGGGUUGGGCCGGCCAGGCUCGGCGCCACCCCUGGGCUUGGAGAUUGCGUUUUCCGGCCGGCCCAGCCCAACCCCAUUAUUGAUGGGCUUCCCCGGGCCAGGCCUGUUUAUCCCGCGCCGAGCCGGCCCGAUAGCUACCUAUACUGUUGCAUUAGCAUGCAGAUCUCAUUAUAUUUUAAUUUAUUUAUCAUCCGUUUUGAAUCUUAAAACACAAAUCAUUUCUAACAGCUGAGGAAUCAUCUUACUCGAUCUAAAAAUCAGACAAUUUAGGUAGAACAAAACCGGUAGAAAAAACACAGCAUUAAAUUCCCAUGUAUAUUGAAUUUCUACAAUAUUUCAAAAUGUAGGAAUAUUUUUAAUGCUUUCUUUGGAUGUUGUAUAGGAAAAGUAUAUAUGAACUUUAGACGAAUUUGGACAUAGAGUAGAGAUGGAGUGUAAGACAAGAUGCAUUGAAGUUUUCAAAGGAAAAAAAAGGAGAUUUGAGUUCAUGCUAGAAUUCUUAUGGAAUAGGCCAAAAGAAUGAAUUGCCUAAAAUUUUGCAGAUCCCAUUACCAUGAUCCAAAUGACUCAUUUGGGAAGAACUCCUAGCAAUUAGAAUCCUUCAAAAUUUAUUUUAAAACCCUACAAUCCGAAGAGGGCCUAAAGUUUUGCUAUUGGAAAGUCACUUGUUUUUGCUUUUUAGUUACAGAAUAAUCGACAGUUUUGAUGGAAGAGGGAGAGUGAGGACAAUUCUCAAAUCUUAAUCCAGCGGCUAUGAUGUCUCGGCUGAUAUUCAAGACACAUCAGCUGUGUCUUGGCUGAUAUUCAAGACACAUGUGUAUUCUAGAAAAAAAAAGAUAUUCAAGACACAUAGCC
rnacentral:lncRNA from 1 species